CAAGGCGGCGCCGCCGCAGAUCCCGGACACCCGGCGGGAGCUGGCGGAGCUCGUGAAGCGGAAGCAGGAGCUGGCGGAAACAUUGGCAAACUUGGAGCGACAGAUCUAUGCUUUUGAGGGAAGCUACCUGGAAGACACUCAGAUGUAUGGCAAUAUUAUUCGUGGCUGGGAUCGGUAUCUGACCAACCAAAAAAACUCCAAUAGCAAAAAUGAUCGAAGGAACCGGAAGUUUAAGGAAGCUGAGCGGCUCUUCAGUAAAUCCUCAGUUACCUCAGCAGCUGCAGUAAGUGCAUUGGCAGGAGUUCAGGACCAGCUCAUUGAAAAGAGGGAGCCAGGAAGUGGGACGGAAAGUGACACUUCUCCAGACUUCCACAAUCAGGAAAAUGAGCCCAGCCAGGAGGACCCUGAGGAUCUGGAUGGAUCUGUGCAGGGAGUGAAACCUCAGAAGGCUGCUUCUUCUACUUCCUCAGGGAGUCACCACAGCAGCCAUAAAAAGCGAAAGAAUAAAAACCGGCACAGCCCGUCUGGCAUGUUUGAUUAUGACUUUGAGUAUGUAUAUUAGGUUAGGCUGGGAAGUUUUUUUUAAAAACAGAAAAACGUGAUGGAGGAUUGAUCUGAAGUUAAACAAAAAACCACGAGCUGACUAUUAGAAGACACAUUAGUGCAGAAGCUUCCAGGCUGUAGAGCCCUGCUUCCCUUCUCUGACCUCGCAAAGAUAAACAUCCUUCACCUGAGUUCGUGGCCAUCCACCUCUGCUCUCCCAGACCCAGUGCCUGUGACUUUGAGUAGUUUGUUCUAAAUGUGGUGACAAACAAGUCAUUUCUGUAAGACAUUGGGUCUUACUUUAUGUCAUUUUUAGUAACAGAACUGCAGGAAGAUCAAGACAAUGUUGUAAUCCCGGCAAGUUGCUAACUGUGCGUUUCUCCCUUCUUAGAAUGAAUGUCUCCCCCAAAACUGGCUGGCACCAGCUUCAUCUGUGAUACCCAUCAAGAAAUGUUCUCUGGUUUUGUUUUAUGCUGAAAGUAGAACACAAGUCACAUUUCAGAUGGAGGCUGUAAAUAUCUGGCAUUUUCUUAUAUUGUUUUAUGUUUUCUUGUUUUUCUCUUGUUGUUUUUAUCUUAUUUUCUUUGGGGUUUUUUUGUAAUGCCUUUGUACAGCUCAUACUUUCCUGCUGACAUAUCUGAUCAUUUCUUUCAUGCAGUUGCCAUAUUCAUAACUGAAAAUAAUCUGGUUUAUCAUAAGUAAAAUGGGAAACUUGCCUCUGUUUUUUGCAAGGGGAGGUAAAGAGUGUUUAGUAAUUACCUAUCUUAAAUCUUUCUGAGUUGGUAGUAGAUUCAUGUUCAAGGAACA
rnacentral:sRNA from 1 species